UACGGAGGGGGCGAGCGUUGUUCGGAAUCACUGGGCGUAAAGCGUGCGUAGGCGGUUAUACAAGUCAGAAGUGAAAUCCCAGAGCUUAACUUUGGAAUUGCUUUUGAGACUGUAUGGCUAGAGAUCUGGAGAGGUCGGGGGAAUUCCGAGUGUAGAGGUGAAAUUCGCAGAUAUUCGGAGGAACACCAGUGGCGUAGGCGCCCGACUGGCCAGAUACUGACGCUGAGGCACGAAAGCGUGGGGAGCAAACAGG
rnacentral:rRNA from 1 species